rnacentral:rRNA from 1 species
GAGCGGCGGACGGGUGAGUAAUGCAUAGGAAUCUGCCCAGUAGUGGGGGAUAGCCCGGGGAAACCCGGAUUAAUACCGCAUACGUCCUACGGGAGAAAGCAGGGGAUCUUCGGACCUUGCGCUAUUGGAUGAGCCUAUGUCGGAUUAGCUAGUUGGUGGGGUAAAGGCCUACCAAGGCAACGAUCCGUAGCUGGUCUGAGAGGAUGAUCAGCCACAUCGGGACUGAGACACGGCCCGAACUCCUACGGGAGGCAGCAGUGGGGAAUAUUGGACAAUGGGGGCAACCCUGAUCCAGCCAUGCCGCGUGUGUGAAGAAGGCUUUCGGGUUGUAAAGCACUUUCAGUAGGGAGGAAAACCUUAAGGUUAAUACCCUUAAGGCUUGACGUCACCUACCAGGAAGGA